AUUGAACGCUGGCGGCAGGCCUAACACAUGCAAGUCGAGCGGCAGCACGGGUACUUGUACCUGGUGGCGAGCGGCGGACGGGUGAGUAAUGCCUAGGAAUCUGCCUGGUAGUGGGGGAUAACGCUCGGAAACGGACGCUAAUACCGCAUACGUCCUACGGGAGAAAGCAGGGGACCUUCGGGCCUUGCGCUAUCAGAUGAGCCUAGGUCGGAUUAGCUAGUUGGUGAGGUAAUGGCUCACCAAGGCGACGAUCCGUAACUGGUCUGAGAGGAUGAUCAGUCACACUGGAACUGAGACACGGUCCAGACUCCUACGGGAGGCAGCAGUGGGGAAUAUUGGACAAUGGGCGAAAGCCUGAUCCAGCCAUGCCGCGUGUGUGAAGAAGGUCUUCGGAUUGUAAAGCACUUUAAGUUGGGAGGAAGGGCAGUUACCUAAUACGUAAUUGUUUUGACGUUACCGACAGAAUA
rnacentral:rRNA from 1 species